rnacentral:rRNA from 1 species
GACGAACGCUGGCGGCGUGCUUAACACAUGCAAGUCGAACGGUGAAGGGACCGGUUUUUGCUGGUUCUGGAUGAGUGGCGAACGGGUGAGUAACACGUGAGUAACCUGCCCCCUUCUUCUGGAUAACCGCAUGAAAGUGUGGCUAAUACGGGAUAUUCUGCGCCUGCUGCAUGGUGGGUGUGGGAAAGAUAUUGUUUCGGUGGGGGAUGGGCUCGCGGCCUAUCAGCUUGUUGGUGGGGUGAUGGCCUACCAAGGCGGUGACGGGUAGCCGGCCUGAGAGGGUGGACGGUCACACUGGGACUGAGACACGGCGCAGACUCCUACGGGAGGCAGCAGUGGGGAAUAUUGCACAAUGGGCGCAAGCAUGAUGCAGCGACGCCGCGUGAGGGAUGGAGGCCUUCGGGUUGUAAACCUCUUUCGCCAGUGAAGCAGGCCUGUCCCUUUUGUGGGUGGGUUGACGGUAGCUGGAUAAGAAGCGCCGGCUAACUACGUG